rnacentral:rRNA from 1 species
GACGAACCGUGCGAACGUUGUUCGGAAUCACUGGGCUUAAAGGGCGCGUAGGCGGGCUCACAAGUCAGGGGUGAAAUCCCACGGCUCAACCGUGGAAGUGCCUUUGAUACUGUGGGGCUUGAGGGAGGUAGGGGCGUGCGGAACUUCCGGUGGAGCGGUGAAAUGCGUAGAUAUCGGAAGGAACACCGGUGGCGAAAGCGGCGCGCUGGACCUCUACUGACGCUGAGGCGCGAAAGCGUGGGGAGCAAACAGG